rnacentral:rRNA from 1 species
GACGUAGGGUCCAAGCGUUUGUCCGGAUUUACUGGGCGUAAAGAGCGCGUAGGCGGUCUGUUAAGUGUAGAGUGAAAUCUCCCGGCUCAACCGGGAGGGUGCGCCGAAUACUGAGGGACUAGAGUAUGGGAUGGGAAAGUGGAAUUCCUGGUGUAGCGGUGAAAUGCGUAGAUAUCAGGAGGAACACCUGUGGUGUAGACGGCUUUCUGGACCAUAACUGACGCUGAGACACGAAAGCGUGGGUAGCAAACAGG